rnacentral:rRNA from 1 species
CCUACGGGAGGCAGCAGUGGGGAAUAUUGCGCAAUGGGCGAAAGCCUGACGCAGCGACGCCGCGUGAGGGAUGAAGGUCUUCGGAUCGUAAACCUCUGUCAGCAGGGAAGAACGGUCACUGUGCUAAUCAGCAGUGAAUUGAUGGUACCUGCAAAGGAAGCACCGGCUAACUCCGUGCCAGCAGCCGCGGUAAUACGGAGGGUGCGAGCGUUAAUCGGAAUUACUGGGCGUAAAGCGCUCGUAGGCGGUAUGUCAAGUCAAUUGUGAAAGCCCGGCGCUCAACGUGGGAACUGCCUUUGAUACUGGCAAACUGGAGUGUGGGAGAGGAUAGUGGAAUUCCAGGUGUAGGAGUGAAAUCCGUAGAUAUCUGGAGGAACAUCAGUGGCGAAGGCGACUAUCUGGCACAUAACUGACGCUGAGGAGCGAAAGCGUGGGUAGCAAACAGGAUUAGAUACCCUGGUAGUC